GAUGACGCUGGCGGCGUGCCUAAUACAUGCAAGUCGAGCGAGCGGCGGACGGGUGAGUAAUGUCUGGGAAACUGCCUGAUGGAGGGGGAUAACUACUGGAAACGGUAGUUAAUAACGCAUACCAUCAGAUGUGCCCAGAUGGGAUUAGCUAGUAGGUGGGGUAAUGGCUCACCUAGGCGACGAUCCCUAGCUGGUCUGAGAGGAUGACCGGCCACACUGUAACUGAGACACGUUCCAGAGUCCUACGGGAGGCAGCAGUGGGGAAUAUUGCACAAUGGGGGAAAGCCUGAUGCAGCCAUGCCGCGUGUAUGAAGAAGGCCUUCGGGUUGUAAAGUACUGUCAGCGGGGAGGCGUUACCCUCAGAAGAAGCACCGGCUAACUCCGUGCCAGCAGCCGCGGUAAUAC
rnacentral:rRNA from 1 species